rnacentral:rRNA from 1 species
UACCUGCAGCCCAAGUGGUGCUCGUUAUUAUUGGGUCUAAAACGUCCGUAGUCGGCUGAGUAGAUGCCCGGGUAAAUCGCAGCGCUUAACGUUGCGAAUUCCGGGUAGACCGCUCGGCUAGGGAGUGGGAGAGGUGUGAGGUACUCUGAGGGUAGGGGUAAAAUCCUGUAAUCCUUGGGGGACCACCAGUGGCGAAGGCGUCACACUAGAACACGUCCGACGAUCAGGGACGAAGCCCUGGGGCGCAAACGGG